CUGAAGCUGAACUGAUCUGUUGUUUGAAUUUUUCGAGUUAUUGUGAUGGUUUCGAUUAAUUGGAGGUCUCUCUCUGGCUAGGGUUGGGGCUGUUUUCGAUGACUUUUUGAUUGAAUGUGCUUCUUAUAGGGUAUUGCGUUGCAGCUGUUUUGUAUUUGAGGUUUUUCUGUUGAUGGUUUCGUAAGGAGCUAAGCAUGUUUUGUGUCCACUGAACUAUUCGAUUUUUUAGUGAAAGUGGGCUUUUUUGUUGUGAUGACAUGUCGGUGAAUCAAGUGUAACUUUGCAACUCAUGGGAUUCAUGACAAGAUUUUGCUCAAAUGGUGCUAAAAUGGAAUUGAGAUCAGCCACAUGUUUUUGUCUUUUCUACCUCUCUCAAAGUCGAAGCAUUUGUUGAUAGUGAUGGAUUAUCUCGGGAAAUAGGGCAAGAUCAUAUAAUUUAUCUCUGCACCUAGCCAAUGUAUAUUAAUGUUAACUCAAAUAAAUUGACCUGUUUCUUUCUUUAUGUUGUCAAUCUUUAGAAGUCUGUAUUCAUGGGAUUCAAGAAAAGAUAUUAUUCAAAAUGGAGUGAAAAUUCGAGAGAAUGGCAUUCUUUGCUACAUGCCAUAACUCAAAUUUAGUACUUCCAUUAAUGUCUCCUCUUCUUGGUAUGUUUGAAUAAUGAUGAUACACGCUUGGUAUUUCUUUCA